rnacentral:lncRNA from 1 species
UUUUGUUUACUCCGUUGUCUGCUGAUGCAUGGAGCACAUUUUGGCACCAGUCUGGGCUGCAUGUGAAGUCUGUAGACAUAGACAGGCUCCUCACCUCUUGGUGGAGAGACCUGUGGCAAACUUUGUGUUUAGGAGGAUUAUCAGGGCAGGCCUGGGAUGGUCCUAUGAGGUGAAUUGGAGCGUUUCUUCUACAGAUAGGAGGGAAAUAGGACUGCCAGGGCCGUCCAGGGGACUGUGACCGAAGCACCGCUGGCCUAUGAUUCUGUGUCUCUCUCUUCUCUCCUGGCUCUGACCCUCAGAGCAGCUCCCCCUGGGGGUCGGAGGCCGGUGGCGGUUCCAGCCUCGUCUGUUUCCUCUGGCAGCUGUGUGGAACAUCAGCUGACCAGGCUCUUUCCUGGAAUGUGUUGCAAGCCUAGCAUUUCCUCUUGCACGUCAGCUGCCAGCCCAGUGCUGAUGAACCAAUGACUCGGUUUCCCUGUUGCGAUGGCUGUGUCUCAUAGAGGCCCAUUGCCGCAACCUGCAGGCUGUGGGACGUGGCCUGGGCACCUGUGAGCCCAUCCACUUCAGCUGUGUUCAGUGGGACUGGGAGGGGAGGCUGCCGGAGGCCGCAGGGUGCUGUGGCCCGCAGGGGCCAAGGGCAAAGCAAUCAGUGAGGCCAGGGAGAGCUGGGCUGGGACCCUGAGCCCCUCCAAUCGCUCCCAGUGGCCUCUCCCACCCCGCAAGCCCUGCAGUGCCCCUCCUGGGCGUCCAGCUGCCGCCCUCCCCACUCCCCGGUCUUGCUGGUUCUCAAGACGGGGAGAAGAGAGCAAAGUCAGGAUGCGGAAAUGGAGUGGCUGGGGCACCCAGGACUGGUCAAGGUGGGACACAAAUACUGACUGCCAUUUAGAGAAGAAUAUGUGCAAUAUACACAAGUUUGCACGCAUGCACAUACACACACACAUGUGGCCACGUGUUCACACAUGCACUUCUAUGCACACAGACUUGCAUACGCAUGUGCACAUGCAUGUGCGCGUGCACACACACACAGACACACACACACUCAUCUGGUUUCCCAAAAGGUCUCUUCAGGAGCGAGUUCCUCGGGCUGGGAGACAGCUGGCGGUGUUGAGACUGAAGUCUGCUUCUGCUCACAGGGAGGUGGGCAGGACCCGUGGUGCCCUGUGAGCACAGAGGGCGUGGGCCCGUCUGCAGCUCUGCGGCUCACUGCGACUCUGGGUGAGCCCUGCAGUCCAGAGCAACACACAGCGGGUGUGCAAGACACAUUCGUGCACAUUGGCCCUAUUUCAUAGCCAUGUUACUCUCUGAAAGUUUUGAAGCAACUUAGAAUAAUAAUGAACAAAGCCAGGCUUGGUGCCUACUACUAAGCCUAUAAUUUGAGCACUCUGGGAGGCUGAGUCAAGAGGACCACAAGUUCUAGCCCAGUCUGAGAAACUUAGCAAGAUCCUGUCUCCAAAAUAAAAAGGGGUGGGGAUGUACAGAUGUAGCUCAGGUAAAGGCCCUGGGCUCACUCUGCAGUACUGAAAAGAAAAUUAAACAAAACAACAAAAAGGUGCAUCAGUGAUAUGAGAGGAACACAACGAUGAUGGACAUAUAAAGUUAAAAGGUGAAAUCAGCACUUGAACUCUGAUGUGGCCAGGGAGAUCGCAUUUCACCCUGGAGAGAUGAAGCCCUCCAUGCUGGUGAGGGAGAUACUGCCCUGGGCCUGACCCCGAGGACACACUGGGCAGAGCCGGGUGGCCUCGGCCUCCCUCAGGGGCAGACAAGGGCCCACAGGACAGCUUCAGGGACAGCAGCACCUAAGUUUGACCCUGGUAAGCUCAGGACUGCCCUUCUGGAGCACCCAGGUUAUCUUUGAUUCUUUUCAUCCUAACAAACGAGCAGGACACAGGGGAGGCAGAGGGAGGACAGUGCACUGUGAACAGCCUUACACCGGGCUGCCUGGGCUCGAAUUCGGCCCCAUCAGAAUUACUCUGCCAGUGCACAGUUACUUAGUUUCUGCACUUCAGUUUCCUAACUGGUAGAAGUGUGUCAGCAUGCUAGCCUCAGGGUUCUCUGAGGAUGAAUCGCGUUGGGAGGCAUGUGUAGUGUGGAGCGGCACUUGGCAUGCAGGGAGGACUGGCGAGCAGUGGCUGUCGGGAGGGCGUGGGCCCCCGAGUGUGCAGUUCUUGUGGUGCUGGGCUCUGCACUUUCCAGCCUGUGGCCCUCAGGAAGGUGUCCCCUCUCCCCUCUCCCCUCAGGAUUUGGGGCGGUGACUCACUCAGCCAGGGCAGAAUUUCCACAAGUGCAGCCGGGGUCCUGUGAUCAGGGUUGAGCAAGGUGUGUGUGUGCGUGCAUGUGCGUGUGUGUGCAUGUGUGUUUCUUGUGCCUUUUAUUGCUUUGCUUGAGGAAGGCAGAUUCUUGGUGGCAUCCAAUCACAACCUCACUUUACAGCUGUGUGAUGCUGACAGGCACAUGUCGCCCACCUUAUCUGUGUGACCUAGAAGCUUGAACCACAUUCAGUUGGGGUUGAGGCGGAAAGCGAAGCAGUGGGUCCUCCACAGCAGGUGGGCAGCUGAGCUCGGGAAGGACAUCAGACACCAGACUGCAGUCUCUGGUCCGAGGUUCACAGUGCCACUCCUGACUGGGCUGCCUCCUGGGGACUGGGAAAAUCAUGGGCACCACAGGCCCUCAGGGCCCACCUAGCAGAGUCCCUGGGGUCUUCCAUGCACGCAAGGUGCUGGCCACCUUCAGGGGCUGUCGUGUGACGACCCAAGUGAGAGCUGGAGGGCGGAGAUGGCUGAAAUCUGAUCUAGAGAGCACCUCUGUCCAUGCAGCAGAGCCCAGCCUCCUGCUGACCCCGCCGGUCUGAUGGCUGGAGCAUGUGCUCCUUCUUCCAGGAGGGUGUGCAGCUGACUUUGGAAGACCGUGCUCUCGGCCUGGAGCCCGUGGUGCAGUGUCUGCCCUGGGCACGAAGAGGAAGGAGGAGAGUUCUCAGGGCUGAGGCCUGAGCUGAGCUGAGUGGGGAGUGGAGGAGGAAUGGGUGGAAAUGGGAGUGGCCCAAAGCACCGGAUCAGCACUGGGAGGGUUUGGCUGGAGUGAGGACAGCUGGGGGCCCCACACGAGCAGCUUUGACUUAAUUCUCUUGGAGGACAGGCCAAGGACUCGCCUCUGACCCUAUCCAUGGGCGCCUUUCACAGGCAGUGUCAGGGGCCAGGGCAGGGUGAGGGUCUGCAGCCGUGUGUGCAAAUGGGAGUGCAUGACACCCAGUGUGCAGGGCAACCAUGUCCUGAGCACCUUUUGCCCUUGCUGGUUCACGGCUCUCAGUCUUCCUGGCCCUGAGCAGGUGAUCUAGGGUUUACAUACGCUUGGAUUUUACAAGUCUACUCACAUCACACUGUGCCAUCUUGUCAGAAGGAGAAACUGAGGCAAAAGAUCCUGAAGAACCUGCGGGGAGGAGCUGCCCUCCAAUCUGAAACAAGACGCAGGGAACAGACUGCCCAGGCUCCUUCGUUCAGCAGUCUGCACCUGUAUUUGGUUCUUUCCCUCCAUAUCUUGGAAAGAGGGGAGAGAGAAGUUCUUUGGGCAACGGCCAUCUGGAGCACUUCUCACUGGGCACAGGUUUGGGGGGGGAUGGCAGGAGGCUGUUGCCCCAAUAUUCCUUAGACUGUGGGUGAAUGGAGAGCUAGAAGUAUGGAGAUUCAGCAGGUUAGGAUUGAUGUAGGGGCCGGGUGGCUCCAGCACUCUUGGAGCUCAAAGCAGGAAGAUCAUCAGUUCAAGGCCAGCCUGGGUAAUUUAGCAAUUUAGGAAGGCUCAGUCUCAAAAUAAAAAGAGGGCUGGGGAUGUAGCUCAGGGUGAAGGCCCCGGGUUCCACCCCCACUACCAAAACAACGGAAACAAAGGAAGAGAAGAAGGAAAAGAGAGCAUGAAGAGAGAGACAGAGAGACGGAGACAGAAAGAUGGAGACAGAGGGGAGAGAGAGAGACAGUGUGGUCCCCUCUUAACCCCUAGCUGUGUGGGAAAGAGACAGGAGGAGGAAGACUGCACAGGAGACAGGAGGGCGUGGCCUGAGCUGGAGCAGAGGGGCCGCUGGUGGCCUGGCGCUGAAACCCUACUGCUAAGCCGGGCCCUUCCACAGCCCUGCUGUGAGGGUGAGGAAGAGCACUGGCUGCGGUUGGUCCAGGACCCUCGGGGGAGCGCUUGUCCGCCCGCCCAUUACCCCGGCCCUGGGAGCCUCCUCUCUCCCCUGCCCAGAAGCUCUCUUGCUCUCUCUGUCCCCGGGCUUUGAGAAGGGCAGGGCGCCCCGCCCAGGAGGGGAAGUGAACAGCAGCCUCCGCCCUGGGUUCCCAGUGAGCGUGUGAGCGUGUGAACGUGUGUGAGUGUGUGUGUGUGUGUGUGUGUGUGUAGGCUCACGCAGAUCAGACACAGAGCGCAGAGUGGAGAGCUUCCCGGACCUUCACAGAGAGCUUGGCCCUUGAAGCUUGUCACAGCCGGCCCAGCUGAGCAGAGGCGCAGGAGCAGCCUGGGGUAAGUGACGUGCUGGGGACUGGGGCGAAGGCAAGGGGGCUCGGGCGGAGCUGGACGUGUAGCGAGCGGAGAGGGAAGGGGACCCCUGUGGCCCUCUGCCCACCCCCCCUCGAUGCCCCAGCCCUAUAUCUCCGUCCCUGGGCCCUGCUACCUGCAGCCACGUGGGGGCUGGGAACCCCAAGUGCAGCCACUAAGCGGGACCCACACAGUCACCCGGUAGGGAGGCACCAUGGCCAGUGCUCACGCAGGGGACACUGAGGAAGCCAGAUUUCCCAGGCCCCCAGAACCAGAGUCGUGGCGCAAAAGUCCUGAUUCUGCUGUAGGUGUCCCCACAGCCAGAUCACAGAAGCUCGGGGACACUCGGACCUUCAGGAGGCAGGAGGUGAUGCCUGGAAUGGAAGUUUCACUUGUCCGGCAGCCCAACCCUCAUGUGGCGCAUUCUGGGGAGCAGAGGUGGGGAGAGCAGGCCUUGGAGCUGGCGCGGGGGUGCAGGGCGGUGGCAGCCUGGCCGGCAGCCCUCCCUUUUGCUUCUCUAGCUUCUCCAUCUCUGUCUUCUCCAGGUGAUGCUGGGCUAUGGCUUCACAUCUCCAUGGACCCUCUGAGGCUGGUGGGACCCCUCGCUACCUACAGCCUGGGCUGGUGUUCCCCGAGGUCUUCUUUUUCUCACAAAAGAAGCCAGGAUAGGGCCGGGGAUUUAGCUCAGUGGUUCUGGCACCUGCCUCACAAGCGCAAGGUCCCGAGUUCGAUCCCUGGUAUCAAAGAAAGAAGCCGGCUUAGCUCACCUCCCUGCAUGUCUGUCCCCACGGCACGUGCUGUUCCUCUGGCGGCUGGAGUUACCUGGGGACUGGGGCUCACGCUCUCCAGGGUCUCAUAGUAGCAGGGGUCUGGCAGUAUGGCUGGAGCAGUCGGAUGUGAUGGCCGAGUGAGGAGACUCACUAACCACAGAUGGAGAAUGGCAGCACCCAAGCCUGACUCGGGACCAAGCUGAACCCUGUACCCAGCACCAGUGAGAACAUGAAGAACCUGGCACGUGAUAUCAGUCUUCUAGCACGAGGCCAGUGUGACCUCCGGGGUCAGCUGUGGAGACACAGAAGGGCGGCAGUGACUGAGCUGUGGCCACCGACCUCUUGCUCUUGCAGCAUCUGUUCUGUGUGCAGGACACACCCGCUCUUUUUCCUUCAGAGCACCUUUUCUCCCUGAGCACUUCUGUGCUUCUCCCUUUUAUUCCUGCCC